CCAGGGUUGGCCGAGCGGUUUAGGCAACGAACUCAUAAUUCGUACCAGGCAGGUUCAACUCCUGCACCCUGGA
rnacentral:tRNA from 1 species